rnacentral:rRNA from 1 species
GAUGAACGCUAGCUACAGGCUUAACACAUGCAAGUCGAGGGGAAACGAUAGAGAAAGCUUGCUUUUUCUAGGCGUCGACCGGCGCACGGGUGAGUAACGCGUAUCCAACCUGCCCACCACUUGGGGAUAACCUUGCGAAAGUAAGACUAAUACCCAAUGAUAUCUCAAGAAGACAUCUGAAUGAGAUUAAAGAUUUAUCGGUGAUGGAUGGGGAUGCGUCCGAUUAGCUUGUUGGCGGGGUAACGGCCCACCAAGGCGACGAUCAGUAGGGGUUCUGAGAGGAAGGUCCCCCACAUUGGAACUGAGACACGGUCCAAACUCCUACGGGAGGCAGCAGUGAGGAAUAUUGGUCAAUGGGCGAGAGCCUGAACCAGCCAAGUAGCGUGCAGGAUGACGGCCCUAUGGGUUGUAAACUGCUUUUAUACGGAACGAAAAGGUCUCUCUUAAUACGGGGGACUCAUGACGGUACCGUAAGAAUAAGCACCGGCUAACUACGUGCCAGCCGCCGCGGUAA